UUAGAUUUUCUUCAUUUUCUUCUGAAAUUUUUCUGGGAUUCUUUGAAGGUUGAUGGAGAUGAUAUGAAGAUGAAAAAGAGGAGAAG
rnacentral:pre_miRNA from 1 species